ensembl:lncRNA
ACUGAAUAGUUCUUUUAGGUAGCUUAAAUUUUAUGCAAAAGACGUUAAACAUUUACAUAGGUGAAGAAUUAGGUGUUAAACCAAGAAUUAAACCAUCAGGAACCCUUUAGUCUCCAGUGCCAGCAUUUCCAGUACUACCUGGAGUCUCUAGAAGUACAGAGUGUCAGAGUUCCUGAAACAUGACCCUCAGUUAAUAAGAAUAUCACAGGCUGAAGUGUUGUUAAAUACAUAGACUGUAUUUUUAAGGCUUUACAGAUAGAUAAACCCAUAAUGACAAAUUUCCCGUGUGACAACUAGCCCCGGUUUCCCAUACAACAGAACUUAUAAAUGAUAAGCUCUUUUAAACGCAUGCAUUUCAUUCUGUAAUUGUGUAUUUUCCCUUUGUAAUGUCAAGUACAUCUAAUAUUAACAAAUGAGACAAUGGAGACGAGAAUCUCAUUUACAUCUGGACGCAGAAUUACUGUUCGGGAAACUCCAACACAGUUGCUUUGUAAUUCAACAACAAAAUCAACAAUAAAUUCAUGUUAUAUUGAGUGCUCCAGUUUCAGUCAAAACGAAGGUUUCACAGAACCAAAAAUAUUUGACCUGGAAAUACUUAAGGAAUGGGAUAGCACAAGAGUUGACUUCAGCAUAGGCAACCAUUCAUCCAACUGUACAGUGGUAGAUUGCUUGCCUGAUGACAUACGUAAGCUCCUGGAAGAGAAAGCAAAAACAAUGAAUAUACCAACAGACAUGAGAAACAUUCUCAAUAUUAAAACAAUGUGCAAGAAUGUGAUCUUUCAUGAAGCUGUUCUGGAUACCUACAUUAGGUAAAUAUAACCUUGUAAAGAUUUUAAAAUGCACAAUUCUUUCAGUGGACAGAGGUUCCAAACCAUUUUACUGGAAGCACCUAAUAAUAAAUCAGGUGUGUUUGAUUAGGGAAUGUGCGGU